UUGCAUUUGCAUAAAAAAUUUCAUAUAAAGUUCUACCUUCAAUGUACUAUUUUAGAAUAGAGUAGUCAUCAAUUUAGCAUAAUGCUUGAUGAAUUUUUCUAUACUCAAUGUUGCUAUACUAUAUCUAUUUCUGAAAUUCUUAAAAUCUUUUAGAGCCGACUCCAAAAUGUGUGGUAAAAUGAUGCAAUUAGUGUUAGAUUAUGUGUGUGUGAAAGUAAGGAGUUGAACAAUUAAUUCUUUCUUGGCUAGUUCAAGUUCAACUAUUAGACCUGAACCAGAUGGUGUAAACCCUGUGUUUUUGACAUUUAUGUCUCUUGCUGAACCCUGUGUUCUUUCUUAAUAUGACGCAUUGUUCUUGCAGGUAAAUGCAAUGAUCCGGAGAGCAUCAAAGACUAUAGACCAAUUACAAUGUGUUAUACUCCUAUAAUAAGAGGUAUUGUCAAACAGAUUAAAACCUCUUCUCGCCAUGUUUAUAACUCUAGAGCAAGCGGCUUUUGUCCGAGUUCUGAAGCUUGACAUAAUCAAAAGCUUUUGAUCAAGUUGAUGGGCGAUACCUCUCAGAUGUUAUGUCAAAGGCAGGCUUCUCCAAUCAAUGAAUAAAUGGAUUUGUUUGGUUAUGUGUGACCUCUGUCAACUACAACGUCUGCCUCAAUAAUGAAGCAGUUGGUCCGAUUUUCCAAAUGAAGUGCCUUACCUCUAUAUCAUAUGUGCAAAGAACAUCUCUGUCUUAUCAAGCAUAGAGUUUCACAAGGAGCUAUUCAUAGGUCCAAAAUCCAUCGAGGUACGCCUUCUAUUAGCCACCUUUUUUCGAUGAUGAUUCUUUCUUAUUUUUCAGGGUCAACAUAGGUGAAACCGAGAUAUCAAAAAAAUUAUAGAUACCUAUGAGGCUGCCUCAUGCCAGGCAAUUAACUUGAAUAAAUCCGAAAUUGCUUUCAGUUCCAAUGUUAAUUAUGAUAUUUGGGCUACUAUUGCAAAUUCUCUAGGAUUGGGAUCUUAUUUAGACCUUCCUCCACUGAUUGGAAGAGGCAAAAAUAGUGUUUUUUUUUUUUAUUGGAUUUAUAAAUGAUUGUACUUGGAGCCGAGUUCAAUAUUGGAGUUCUAAAUGUCUUUGUAGAGCGGGUAACAAGGUCCUCACUACAUCGGCAGUUCAGUCCAUCCCUACCUAUUGUAUGAGUGCAUUCGCAUUCCGCUUGCCCUCCACUCUUACUUUAGAGACUGAACAUAUCAAUUCCUUUUAGGGGGUUCGAAGAAAAUGGCCGAAGAAGUAUGAAUUGGUUGAGUUGGAAAGUACACCGGCGGCAAGUCCUCUUUUAGACUUUACAUGGAUGCUUUUACACAUUCUCGUGAAACUAAUGUGAAUGGUAAUUGGCACUUGCCGUGAGCUCAGCCAAAGAAGAGAUUUCCGUGUCCAAUCACUUGUGUUAACCGUGAUGCAGAAAACGAAAGCUCCAGCCACAUUCUUUUCUCUUGCGGCCUUGCUGUAUCAAUCUGCAGAAGCUGGAUAUUUUGGAAUCAGCUCAGUCUGUUGCUGAUUCAAAGUGAUCAACUCGCUUCUGUUCUCUUUGGUGCGUGCAAUAUUCUUUCCCAAGCAAACUUGCAGCAGUUCUGUGUUACUAUAUUUUUCGUUUGGAGUGCACAAACUAUGGAAUGGCAAAGUGUGGGAUGCGAACCAGAUUUUAGCUCGAGCGAAACACUUCCUUGCGGAUCAAAACUGGGUGAGUAUAAGAACAGAUCCCAAGUCUGACUCCUCUCAUCCUCUGCCUGCUGAAAAGUGCCACAAACCGCAGACGGUUAUCUCAAAUGCAAUGCAGACGCAUCUUUCUUCCAACAGAUGCAGACAGUAGGACCGGGAAUGUGUGUUAGAGACCAUCUAAAUGCAGGUAGUAGAAGGUGGUAGUGAAACGUAUAAGUUCAUGAUGUUUGUGUUUGCUGAUUUCAUAUUGUUGGAGAAGGAUUGGCAAUAGGAACAGGGUGGCUGGUGGUGCAGUUCACAAUGGGGGCUUGGAUUUGGUCAUCACAAGAACAUAAGGUUUGCUUUUGAGUGAGAGGACAGGCUAAUUAUUUUGACAUGUUUCAGAAACAGCAAAAUGGUGG